rnacentral:rRNA from 1 species
AAGAGAAUCAGCCUAUGUCCUAUCAGCUUGUUGGUGAGGUAAUGGCUCACCAAGGCUAUGACGGGUAUCCGGCCUGAGAGGGUGAUCGGACACACUGGAACUGAGACACGGUCCAGACUCCUACGGGAGGCAGCAGUAGGGAAUAUUGCUCAAUGGGCGAAAGCCUGAAGCAGCAACGCCGCGUGGAGGAUGAAGGUCUUCGGAUUGUAAACUCCUUUUCUAAGAGAAGAUUAUGACGGUAUCUUAGGAAUAAGCACCGGCUAACUCCGUGCCAGCAGCCGCGGUAAUACGGAGGGUGCAAGCGUUACUCGGAAUCACUGGGCGUAAAGAGCACGUAGGCGGCCUUGCAAGUCAGAUGUGAAAUCCAACGGCUUAACCGUUGAACUGCAUUUGAAACUGCAAGGCUAGAGUAUGGGAGAGGUAGGUGGAAUUCUCGGUGUAGGGGUAAAAUCCGUAGAGAUCGAGAGGAAUACUCAUUGCGAAGGCGACCUGCUGGAACAUUACU